rnacentral:rRNA from 1 species
AACGAACGCUGGCGGCAGGCUUAACACAUGCAAGUCGAGCGCCCCGCAAGGGGAGCGGCAGACGGGUGAGUAACGCGUGGGAAUCUACCGAGCCCUAAGGAAUAGCUCCGGGAAACUGGAAUUAAUACCUUAUACGCCGUUCGGGGGAAAGAUUUAUCGGGGUUUGAUGAGCCCGCGUUGGAUUAGCUAGUUGGUGGGGUAAAGGCCUACCAAGGCGACGAUCCAUAGCUGGUCUGAGAGGAUGAUCAGCCACAUUGGGACUGAGACACGGCCCAAACUCCUACGGGAGGCAGCAGUGGGGAAUAUUGGACAAUGGGCGCAAGCCUGAUCCAGCCAUGCCGCGUGAGUGAUGAAGGCCCUAGGGUUGUAAAGCUCUUUCACCGGUGAAGAUAAUGACGGUAACCGGAGAAGAAGCCCUGGCUAACUUCGUGCCAGCCGCCGCCGUAAGAC